UCCUCAUUAGCUCAGUUGGUUAGAGCACACCCCUGAUAAGGGUGAGGUCGCUGGUUCAAGUCCAGCAAGGGGAACCA
rnacentral:tRNA from 1 species